rnacentral:lncRNA from 1 species
AGAAGUGUCUCGAUGACAUCUUAUGGCAGAGACAAGAGAAAAGACGAUAGCUCCAGCCCUCCACAAGAUGCAUCCAUCACACAGUGAUGCAGAUCAGUACUGUGAAGUUUCCCUGAUGCCGUGGAGGACUGGCAUGAGAGGGGUAAGAGGUCCGAGUGAGGCGGUGAUGGUUCCAUGCUGGUGAUGGUCCGUGGUAUCCGGUAACUGUGGCAGGAACAGAAGUGAGCAUGAGCUGUGGAGGAAGAGCUGCAGAGAAAACUGGCGUCCAAAUGAAGGUGAGUAUUGUCAGAGUUUGAGCAUGGGGAGCAGGUGGAUGACUACAAGCAGAGAAACACGAGGUGAGCAGAUAAUAUCACUAUGAACAAUAUCACAAGAGCUGUGUCGGCUGCACUAACAGAGGUUAGUUGAAGAUCUGGUGACGAGUAGCUGAGAGCGCUGGUCUUAAGUAUUGGCAGUGUUAAGGUUCAAAAAUAUUGAGGAGGAAUCCAAAAAUAACCACAGAUCCAGCCUGGUGCAAUUAGACGGCAUUUUAAUGAACACAUGUGUGAGUCCGACCGCUGUGCAGAUUUCAGCGUCGAACUAGUCAAACUGAGGUUUUAUAGGGUUGGGGGUGAUACUGCUCCCCCCCCCUCUCAGACACAAUACAGCAUACGUCAACUCAAAACCACAAUGACUUUUAACAUAGUUUAAAACAGAACAUUGUCUUCGCGUCGAAGCCAGAUGCUUCCUGUCUCCAUCCUCGGACGCUUAUCUUCUGGAACAUCAGGUCCACGUUCUGCACAAACUGUCACUCAUGCACAACUUUGCAGUUGCAAGCAAAACAUGAUUAACUCUUACCUAUAUAAAUGAGUCUCUCUAAUAUGUGUGUGUGCGUGCACGUGCGGGGGCGCGUGCGUGCUGUGUACUGCGUACGUGUCAUGACCUCUCUCACUAUAUGUGUCUGUAUGUGUAUGUCACGUCUGUCUGUGCGUGCAGAGUUUGCAUGUGCUCUCUGAACCUUAGUUGACCUCAACUUAAGCAACCAGGCUAAGGCCAUCCUGUGUGUACUGAUCUUGACUUAUAUGUAAAAUAUAUAAAACAAAUGUUUCAAUCUAACACAACUACUUAACGCUUACUCAGCGAUAAAUGCAUAAUAAAACACCCUGCUCUUAACUUGCACUCACUCUGCUUUCAGUUUCACUUCUGCAAAAGCAUGCCCUGCAGAAGUGUUUCCUGUCUCAUUUUGGCACAGAGUGUAUUUCCUGUCCCUGCAGUCUACACAGAAACAUUUAAGAUUAUUAUAUAGGAGCAUUGAAAAACAUUUAAAAUUAUAGAUUCAACUCCACAGUUUAAAGUGGUUCUUCUUGGACCUGUAAUAAAGACUAAUAUAAUACCAAUCUAUUUGAACAUCUGAAUGCAUCUGAAUGCAACAUCACUCUCAAUCAUGAAAUGGUAAUGAUGAUUAUAGAAAUAGCAGCAAACAAUAGCAGUAAAAUAUUUCUCCUCUUGACAGCAGCUUGAUUGCAAACAGGUGUGGACUGCAGGCUGUAAUGCAAUGACUCCGCCCAGAGGUGGAACCACCAGCUCUAUGGAAAAACCCCGCACUCACCCGGACAGUGACACACGGAUACAUCCAACCACUGCAGAGUCAUCAUAAAACUUCUGAAGAUGGCAAACUCAACACGAACAAUUUAUAAAAGACUCCACAAAGCUGGGUGGGACAGGCCUUGAGGACACAGCACUCAUCUGGUCUGGUCCAGCAGACGUGUUUGACUGGAGUCUUUGACUCUGGUCACGAGUGAAAGUGAUGGUGGAGGAGAGGCGGCGAUGGUGCAAUGUGGUGAGGCAGGGAGAGAGACUGCAGGCUGGCUACAGGUAAGUCAGCAGGGGGGUGAGCGUUCACUGCAGUGUGGAAUCUGUUGAAAAACACAUUCAAGUGUCUCGCUCUGUCCUCACUGCCCCCAGCUCCUCUGUUGUUGGAUGGCUUGAAUCCAGUGGUUGUCUUCAUGCCACAACUCUCUCACGCUGAUCUUGCCCUUCAGUAACACCUGAACCGUUCUAGCCUCGUCUCUACUGCCCGCUCUGAACGCCCUCUUCUUGUUAUUGAGGAGAGCUUUGAUAUCCUUAGUCACCCACAGCUUGUUAUGUGGGUAACAAAUGAUGUCCGUGCUGGGACAAUGGAGCUCGUGCUGAAGGUUAUGUAGUGAGUGACACACUCAGUAAGCCCACUGGUGUCCUCACCGUGAGGCUCACACACUGUCUCCCAGUCUGUCACCUCAGAACAACCCUGUAGUUCCACUAAAGCCUCCUCCGACCACCUACUACUGUACUUCUAGAGGUCACAGCUUCCCUCUUCACAACAGGCACAUAGCAGUGGGUGAAACAGGGAUUUAUAUAAAAGCUAUGAUGUAUUUGUAUUCUGAUGUAUUUACCACCCCGUCGUAGAUCAAUCAGCGGUAUGCUGAACUCUCAUUGGUAGACCCUUAAAUUGUUGUCAUGAAGUUCAGCCUGGAUAUCUUAAAAAGAAGGAAACCGAACUUCUUUUCAAGCAUUUAAGACUAACAGGACCUGGACCUUUUUAGCGCCCUCUGUGGUUGGAUUGUGGAAGUGAAACAGAGCCACAGCCUGCGCACACACAGUUUAACACAUCAGUAACUGCACAACAUGCAGAGCAGGAGUGAACAUGCUGCAACACUUCAACCUGAUCAUAAGUGUGUGUGUGUGUGUGUGUGUGUGUGUGUGUGUGUGUGUGUGUGUGUGUGUGUGUGUGUGCAGACAGUGAGCAAGAAGACGAUGGUCUCCCUGAGGAUGGUGUGAGGAUGAGGAGAGGACAGAUUUCUUACAUUUCAAUUCUUUACAGUUUUUGUCCUUCGUGCUUUUGAACCAUCACACCAGGAAAGCUGAUUCUUUUUGUCUGUUUCUGAUAAUAAGACGUCGUGUUCAGCUGUCUUUAUCAUGCAGUGUAGUAAACAUGUUUCAGUGUGAAUGUUAGAAAGAUGAGAUUUUACUGUGAAGCUUUUUUAUACCAAGGGAAUCAUAAACACUUCAGUGAUGUAAAUAAUUCUCUCAGAAGCUGGAAACUCCAAGCAAAACUCACUGAACCAUAAAUAACUGUAGAUUACAAUAUGAUGAGAAAUGAGGGCUGAAAUGUGAGGAGGUUUCAGACUGUGCAGACUUAUGGACGUAUCAUAGAUUUGGAUUAAAUGUGGUUUAUGAAAAGUUCAUGACUGGUUUGUAGGUUUCCCCUCAUUGGCUGUCUGACCUGCUGACUUACACAGGUCAGCUUCACUGUUUGAUUCUGACAGCUGAGCUCACACAGGCUCUGUCAUCUGCUGUGUUUUGUUAGAAAUACUUUGACUCACAGAAAAAGCUGCUCAGCUCUUGUUCUGGACACAUUUGGGAGAGAAGCUGCCUCUGUGUGUAACAGCGCCCCCUGCUGCUCAUGAUGAUAAAUGUGCAGAUGCUGAUUCUUGCAGUGGCUGUUGAUCCAACUGGAAGUGCUGUGGUUACAGGUCCAGCUUCCUCCUGUGAAACCUGCACUAGUGGGCUGCUGUUACAGACCACCAAGUCCUGAUAUCCUGUAUCUCCAGGCCACAUGUACAAUGCUGCAGUCAGUCACUGGAGACCUUAAUAUUGACUGGUUCUCACAUACCUGUAUUUAGCCACGUCCCUGCUCAAGACGAUUUUGUGUGAUCAACUCGACCGUAAUAACAGAAAAAUGCUUUUGAAGAAGGAGUCGGAGGAUCAUCAUCCUCCUGCACUGACUAAAACUGAAGCACUGUUUGUUAACUGCAGUGAGAACUCUGACAUUUCUAAAGUGAAGUUUAUUUAUAUAGAAGAAAGUGUUAACAAGCUUAAAAGUUGAUGUGAGCAGUAAAUAAAAGGGUUAAACACACAGUGUCGCUCUCAAACUGCUCCUCUUCCUGGAGUGAAGCACAGCCUCUUCUUCCUGCUCUUAAACACAGCACCUCCUCUCUGUCCACGUGUUUCCUCGUUCCCUCCCCUUCAGAUCUGCACUUUGAAGAUGGGUGUAACCAACAUGUGGUGACGUGUAAGAGCUGACAGGCUCCAUUCACUGCAGAAACACAUGUUGUUGAGAUCAGAGCUCAGACUAGUUUCAGUUUUAAGGAAGAGAAACUCGCACAGU